rfam:Pararhizobium polonicum strain F5.1 contig_8, whole genome shotgun sequence.
AUUUAUCGCAGCGAUUCACCUCCUCCCGAAACGCUGCGGCCGAUCAGCGGUCACCUCCUCCCGACCGUGGGUCAUUUUCAGAAGCCUGCCGCACCUCCUCCCGCGGCAGGCUUUUUUC